GCUGGAGGGCGGGUGCGGGUCCCCGCGUGUCACGCUCCAGCUCGAGAGGACAAGGAGGGCAAGAGUGAUCACUGACUCGCUGCCUUGGAUGGCGGAGCUUCCGUGUUGUUCCUUACGUGUGACAGCUAUUUCAUCUCAAGGUGAUCCCAUAAAGUGGAUACUGUUAUUAGCCCUAUUUUACAAUCUGCCCAAGAGGGGGUGAGGCCUGGAAGUGAGGCGGGCAGAGAUGGGACGUACAUCACAAAGUCUGGAGAGGGCGCCUCCAGAUGCGUCUUUGCAGGGCUUGCUGCCUCUUGAACCAUGAACUUUGUCUCAAAAGCCAUCUGGUUUCUCGUCUCGAAAACAUCCCACGACAGCUCUGAGUGCUACAAACCAGGCUGGGUCAUCUGCUGCUGCUGGCUUCCAGAUAUUGCUCCAAACGUUUCUGCAAGGCUGGUGACGUCCCAAGACACUGAGACUUUAGAUGCCCACUGCCCAAUAUUUGGUAGUGCUCACAAAAAAUGUCGAUGGAGAAAAAAGUAUGACUGCAACACGGGGCAGCAAAAGAUCUUCUCAUGCAGCAAAGUUCCUGUCUACCAACAUGAGUUGCAGUCUAAAGCCACAGUGAAUUUUGUGACAGUAACACUAACAAUCCAAUGGAGUAGAAACAUCCUAAUCUUCCUAUAAACAUACGGCACAUGGAGAACAGAAAUGAUUCUAGGAAUGACUUUGGCUUUUUUAAUUCUUCUUGAGGGAGAUAUAAAGAGCAUAGCAUCUUUGAAUUCUUGAGGCACUGUCACAAUACUCCAUGUGUUAUGGAAAAGCUGACACACAAAUGUGGGUCAUUAUUACUCUCCUUUUAAGAAUUGCAAGAGAGUGAGAGAGAGAGAGAGAAGCUGCAGCAACCCAGAUCGGAUGAUACGGUAACACCAAACAGAAGCAGAAACGAUCACAUACACACUCACUAUACACUGGACUCCUUACUCUGUACGUACCCUCUGUUCUUUGGUCCAGGUCCCUCAUGAGCUGGAAGUUUCUCUGCAGUUCAAAGGGGAGGUUUUCAAUACCUGGGGAGAAGAGGAGAAAUUGAGCCUCCCUGGACGUCCUAGGCCCUACAGCUGCGUUUAAAGAACAGGUCCAGAACAGCACUCAGUUUUCCCUCCUUCAAACCGCUGGAUUAUCUGUGACAGCACUCAUCAUUCCGCUCUCAGGAGAGGUCACGUCCGCCUCUUUCCACAACUAACCCCUCCAUCUCUGCACAGCUUUCCCACCCUUCCUGCCUUCAGUGACUUUACAAAUCAGCCGUUCCCUUUCCUUUCCUUUCAACCUCUGUCUCCAAGCUCCUUGCCCUCAGCUUGCAAAUACCCUCCUGGCAUCCUCCACCACUCAUCGCACACACAGUUCCAAUCUGCUCUCCAUACAAUAGCCAGAAUAUUCUUUAAAAAAUGCAGAUCUGAUCAAGUCACUAUCCUAUUUAUAACCCUCUAGUAACCUCCUACUGCAAUAGUCCUAUUCCGCACUUUCUGGCCCUUGCUUCCCUCACACCAGCCCUAACUCACGUCAGUCCCUGUCUGUGCUCUCUCUGCUCUAUCAUACCGGCCUCCUCUGAGUGCCUUGAACUUGCCGGUGCUCUUCACGACACUUGGCUUUUCACACGCUACUCUCUCUGCCCAGAAUGCCCUGCCCAGUCUUCUUCAUCCCACCUCCACCACACCUCUUGGCCUACAAAUUCCUGUUCAUUCUUCAAAGUUCAGCUCAACCCUGACUGCCCCAGACUCCAACAGGUGCCCUGGAUGAUGCUGUCAUGCUAUUUUUUUUUUUUAAAUAUGUAUUUAGCUGCACGGGGUCUUAGUUGCAGUACACGGGAUCUUUGUUGCCGCGUGCGGGACCUUUUAGUUGCGGCAUGUGGGAUCUUGUAUUUGCAGCGUGUGGGAUCUAGUUCCCUCCCUGACCAUGGAUCGAACCCGGGCCCCCUGCAUUGGGAGCGCGGAGUCUUAACCACUGGACCACCAGAGAAGUCCCUGUCGUGGUAUUCUAUGUCUACCCUUUUGGGCUCUUAUCCAAUGUACUUAAAUAAGUAAUUGUGUAAUUAGUUAUUCGGUAUGUCUCCCCAGCUCUCCAGAAGGGUUAGAUGUAUCUGUCUUCUUUCCUGUUUCUCUAGGACCCUCAAUAAAUACCUGAAUAAAUGCAUGAAUACUUAAGUCUCUCUCAUAAAAGAAAAAUCUCUUCGCGUGACUCCACUUCCAACUUUUAAAAUGCCUCCACUGCUUUAACCUAUAAACUCAGGUCCGCCACCACCAGUUUACUGAGAUUAAGUCCUCAAUGACUUACCAAAUCAAAUGAUCGGUUAUUAGUCCUAUCCUAAAAAAAAUUACGUUUGCAGCAUCUGGCACCAUCUUCUCGUCUUCGAAUAACUUCCUUCCUCUUAAGAUUCCAAAUCUC